UACGGAAGGCAGCAGUGGGGAAUAUUGCACAAUGGGCGCAAGCCUGAUGCAGCCAUGCCGCGUGUAUGAAGAAGGCCUUCGGGUUGUAAAGUACUUUCAGUCGUGAGGAAGGUGUUAAGGUUAAUAACCUUAGCAAUUGACGUUAGCGACAGAAGAAGCACCGGCUAACUCCGUGCCAGCAGCCGCGGUAAUACGGAGGGUGCGAGCGUUAAUCGGAAUUACUGGGCGUAAAGGGCACGCAGGCGGUUAAUUAAACUUGGAUGUGAAAUCCCCGGGCUUAACCUGGGAAUGGCAUUCAAGACUGGUUAGCUAGAGUCUUGUAGAGGGGGUAGAAUUCCAUGUGUAGCGGUGAAAUGCGUAGAGAUGUGGAGGAAUACCGGUGGGCGAAGGCGGCCCCUGGGACAAAGACUGACGCUCAUGUGCGAAAGCGUGGGGAGCAAACAGGGAUUAGA
rnacentral:rRNA from 1 species